rnacentral:sRNA from 1 species
UUCUAAAAUAUCAUUUUGUUUGUGGCAUC